CAAUUGCAGUCCGCGUUUUUAGGGCUAAGACUCUAGAACAAAGGGCUGCUGUUGAUUUGGAUACCCACUACUCAAAAGUAGGCAGUACUUAUGUACUUAAACCAUCAUUGUAAAAUCCACUGCAUCCUCCUUUCAUCUCUGUCAAAGGAAAAAUACUUAAUCUUUCUCCAUCCCAAAAGAAAUAAGGAUUUCGGGAGAACAAUUAGUUGUUCUGUGAUUGUAUGAAUAAAGGACUCCAAGUAAAUUCAUUUGUGUUCUUAUGAUUGGAGUCUUUCUUUUGGGACAUGGAAGUGCGUCGAUGUGUUAGGCUUCCACGGACAGAGGUUUCAGAUAAUCUGUGUGAGUGUGUGUGUGUGUGUGUGAGAGAGAGAGAGAGAGAGAGAGAGAGAGAGAGAGAGAGAGAGAGAGAGAGAGAGAGCAAUCCAUAGGGUAAAGCCGUUGGUCUAUUUUUCUUUCUCUUAUGGAAGCGUAAUGUAUUAUGUGCAGGAAUAUCUUGAGGAAUAUGUUGGAUCUAGCACCCGGAGGGCAGUACUCCACCAAAAAUUCUCAGGAUGGGAUUGGAGGAUAAUUGAUAUAUGACAGAGCUCUAACACCAGCACUUGUGCGAAUCGAUGCGGACCACGUGGAAGUGAGGCCUUACCAGAAGGUAUUGUUGCCAAUUCUUCUGAUUUGGAAAUGAGGCCGUUAUGGGAUUCUGCAGAGGGCUCUCUUAGUUCUUCGUCUAACUUGUUUGCCGUGGCUGUUGGAAUCAAGCAAAAGGAUCUUGUGAAUAAAAUGGUUACAAAGUUUCUGUCAAAUGAUUUUGUGGUGAUGCUUUUCCACUAUGAUGGUGUUGUUGAUGAGUGGAAGGACUUAGAAUGGAGUGAUCGCGUCAUACAUGUAUCUGCAUUUAACCAAACUAAAUGGCAACUGGUCUUUUCCUUCCAACCCAGGUAAUAAUCAUUCACAGUCUCCUAAUG